AGAUCGAUGGAUGGUUGUGAAGUGAUUCAUUGACUUAUUCUAUGAUUGCAGUGAUGGGUUGCAGGUUUUUGUGAAGUGAUGAACAUUAAUGGUCUUUUUUUCCAAAUCAAUGGUUACUUUUCUUUCUUGCACUCAUUUGUAAACUGAUUCAUGCACUCAUGUGAACUGGAUUGUAUCAUGUGAUUGCAGUAGAUCCUAAUCUAAUUUGUCAACUGAGUCAUAGACUAAACUUCAGACAAAUCUGUGAACUGGAACUCAUUUGUGAACUGAACUUGAACUGGAAUGCGGACUGUAGCUUGAACUGAACAUUUUGUUGAAGUCCAUACCAUUGGAAUUUCUGUGAACUGAAAUGCAUUGCUAAAUUCAUUGCUAUUGAACUAAAUUUUCCCUAGAGAGUCCAUUGCUGUGGCGGAUAGCCUUGCCCGUUGUGUAGCUCUAACCACCAAAACAGGUUCUUCCAGGCUAUCUCGGAUCCCCCCCUCUUCUCCCGAGGGGAGCUAGUCCUUGAUAGGUCAGGUUUAGGAGCGGUUCGAUUUUCUUAGCCUUCUCUUUGUUUUCUUUUUGAGAUAUGAUAGGCAGGCCUCCGUCUUGUGGCCCUCCCGAAUGUGCAGGCCUUGUAUAGCUUCAAGUCUUGGUCCCUUUUAUUGGCCUGAGUCUGUUGCUCAUUUGUAAGAAUCUUAGAUCAUCAAUGAAAUCCAGAUUUUUGAAAAAAAAAACUAAAUUUUCCCAUGGACUAUGGAUCAAGCUGAACUCAGUUGCAACUUCAACUGAGAACAUGCAUUUCUAAACUACAGAACACUGUAAAUUCCUAUGAAUUGAACUUUUUGCUAUCCAAAAUUAUGCUUUUGUUAUUGUGCAAAAGUUACUCUCCUUCUAUGACUGUUGCUAUUGUGCAAAAAUCGCACUCCUGCGACUUUUGAAAAUUCACAGGAUGGCAUUGAUCAUGGGCAUGGAUAAUACAAAUGUCUUAUAUUUCUAAAAAAAUAGUGAUUGAUACCAUCAUGAUUUUGUAGUUUCAUAAUGGGAUGCAUGUACCGUUAGUAAUGGGUGGUGAACAACAAGUGCAGCUACUAUCAUGGUUUCACGAUAAUGAUGGUCAACAUAUGAUGAUGUAGGAUGACCCAAAUUUGUUGCCUCAAAGACAACAUAUAGCUUGGACUCAUGCAUCAUGGGAGAAGUUUGAUAUAUCAUCCCCAUGUUGUGGAAUAUGAGUUGCUGAUGGUCCCUGCAAGCGAAUUACCAUACGAGGGACAUGACCCAGUUGAGGUAUGCUUCAGUUGACUGUUGAGGUUCAGGCUUCUCUUAUUUUUAUGGUCCUUCAAGAGCAUUUUUAUUUAUCAUUUGGGUACUUAAAUGGGCCCUAGGAAUGUUGUCAAAGAUUCUAUCUAUUGUGAAGCUCUUCUAUUAUUUCUGUUUUGGAAAUUCAAAUAGUUUCAUGUUUGAAUUUAUUUUCAUUCUGUUGCUCAAUCGGGCAUUAUGUACUUUUUAAAAAAUUGAAAACUGGUGAAACUUGCAGUUUUCUAGAGGGAAUCUUAUAUAUCUAGCAAGUGAAACAAAAAUGAGAUCAUCAGAAGAGUAAAAACCUCAUCAAGAACUCUUGCAAGAAACCAUACCACAUGCCUUGCUUUAGGAUACAUUUGGAUGUUAGGUUCUCAAGGGUGACAGGAUGU